UACGAAGGGGGCUAGCGUUGUUCGGAAUCACUGGGCGUAAAGCGUCCGCAGGUGGUUGUGUGUGUCUAUUGUCAAAGCAUCAUGCUUAACAUGAUAAAGGCAGUAGAAACUACACGACUAGAGUGCGUUCGGGGCAGAGGGAAUUCCUGGUGUAGCGGUGAAAUGCGUAGAGAUCAGGAAGAACACCGGUGGCGAAAGCGCUCUGCUAGGCCGCAACUGACACUGAGGGACGAAAGCUAGGGGAGCGAAUGGG
rnacentral:rRNA from 1 species